UCUCAGCAGAGUCUGGUCGCCAGGAGACCCGGACUUGAUCAGGAGGAAUGGUCUCUCUGCACUUGACUGAAAGAUUGGAUUCUAAUUCUUUAUUAAAUUCUGGUUUGACAUGUUGGGGGCAAUGGAGAAAUUCGCACGUCCUAUUUGGAUCCCUUCUUGGUGCAUACGACCUGCAUAUCAUGAGCUGACAUCAGACACUGCAAAGCUCGAUGCCAAACUUCUAGCUGAAGAUUCCGGAAAAGGGGAGAAUCAAGAAAAGAACUCGGAAAGAACAGACCAGCCACAGCAAGUCCUAACACCUGGGGUGACUUCAAACUAUUAGCCAAUGAUGUUCAUGAAAUGCUAAAAGAACAGAAUAAAGAACCAACUCCUGAGAACUUGCUUAUAGCACCAAGUCCUGGAGAGGAUGACGACAGUAUUACCAUCCAGAGAGAUGUUACUUGUAAGCU